GACGAACGCUGGCGGCGUGCCUAAUACAUGCAAGUAGAACGCACAGUUUAUACCGUAGCUUGCUACACCAUAGACUGUGAGUUGCGAACGGGUGAGUAACGCGUAGGUAACCUGCCUGGUAGCGGGGGAUAACUAUUGGAAACGAUAGCUAAUACCGCAUAAUAUUAAUUAUUGCAUGAUAAUUAAUUGAAAGGUGCAAUUGCACCACUACCAGAUGGACCUGCGUUGUAUUAGCUAGUAGGUGAGGUAACGGCUCACCUAGGCGACGAUACAUAGCCGACCGGAGAGGGUGAUCGGCCACACUGGGACUGGGACACGGCCCAGACUCCUACGGGAGGCAGCAGUAGGGAAUCUUCGGCAAUGGACGAAAGUCUGACCGAGCAACGCCGCGUGAGUGAAGAAGGUUGUCGGAUCGUAAAGCUCUGUUGUAAGAGAAGAACGGGUGUGAGAGUGGAAAGUUCACACUGUGACGGUAUCUUACCAGAAAGGGACGGCUAACUACGUG
rnacentral:rRNA from 1 species